rnacentral:rRNA from 1 species
GGUUCGAUUCUGGCCUGGACGAACGUUGGCGGGAUGCUUAUACAUGCAAGUCGAACGGCAGCACGGACUUCGGUCUGGUGGCGAGUGGCGAACGGGUGAGUAAUGUAUCGAAACGUGCCUAGUAGCGGGGGAUAACUACGCGAAAGCGUAGCUAAUACUGCAUAUUGCCCUUCGGGGGAAAGCGGGGACCUUCGGGCCUCGCACUAUUAGAGCGGCCGAUAUCGGAUUAGCUAGUUGGUGGGUAACGGCUCACCAAGGCGACGAUCCGUGGCUGGUUUGAGAGGACGACCAGCCACACUGGGACUGAGACACGGCCCAGACUCCACGGGAGGCAGCAGUGGGGAAUUUUGGACAAUGGGGGAAACCCCUGAUCCAGCCAUCCCGCGUGUGCGAUGAAGGCCUUCGGGUUGUAAAGCACUUGGCAGGAAAGAAACGGCACGGGAUACAAUUGCGCAACUGACGGUACCUGCAGAAUAAGCACUGGCUAACUACGCGCCAGCAGCCGCGGUAAUACGUAGGGUGCGCGUUAAUCGGAAUUACUGGGCGUAAAGCGUGCGCAGGCGGUUCGGAAAGAAAGAUGAAAUCCCAGAGCUUAACUUUCUUUGGGAACUACAUUUAACUACCGAGCUAGAGUGUGUCAGAGGGAGGUGGAAUUUCCGGGCGGCAGUGAAAUGCGUAGAUAUGCGGAGGAACAUCGAUGGCAAAGGUAGCCUCUGGAUAACACUGACGCCUGCGCAUCAAAGCGUGGGAGCAAACAGGAUAGAUACCUCGGGGGCCCACGCCCUUCUAAACGAUGUCAGACCACGUUGGGGCCUUCGCCUCGUGGGUAGCGCAGCUAACGUGAAGUUGACCGCCUGGGGAGUACGGUCGCAAGAUUAAAAAACCAAAGGAAUUGAUGGGACCCGCACAAGCGGUGGAUGAUGUGGAUUAAUUGAUGCAACGCGAAAACCUUACCUACUCCUUGACAUGUCUGGAAUCCCGAAGAGAUUUGGGAGUGCUCGCAAGAGAACCGGAACACAGGUGCUGUAUGGCUGUCGUCAGCUCGCGUCGUGAGAUGUUGGGUUAAGUCCCGCAACGAGCGCAACCCUUGUCAUUAGUUGCUACGAAAAGGGCACUUCCACGAGACUGCCGUGACAAACCGGAGGAAGGUGGGGAUGACGUCAAGUCCUCAUGGCCCUUAUGGGUAGGGGCUUCACACGUCAUACAAUGGUCGGGACAGGGUCGCCAACCCGCGAGGGGGAGCCAAUCCCAGAAACCCGAUCAGUCCGGAUCGCAGUCUGCAACUUCCCGACUGCGUGAAGUCGGAAUCGCUAGUAAUCGCGGAUCAGCAUGUCGCGGUGAAUACGUUCCCGGGUCUUGUACACACCGCCCGUCACACCAUGGGAGUGGGUUUUACCAGAAGUAGUUAGCCUAACCGUAAGGAGGGCGAUUACCACGGUAGGAUUCAUGACUGGGGUGAAGUCGUAACAAGGUAG